rnacentral:rRNA from 1 species
UACGGGGGAUGCAAGCGUUAUCCGGAUUUAUUGGGUUUAAAGGGUGCGUAGGCUGUGAGGUAAGUCAGCGGUGAAAUGCCCCCGCUCAACGGGGUGAAGUGCCAUUGAUACUGCCUUGCUGGAAUGCGGAUGCCGUGGGAGGAAUGUGUGGUGUAGCGGUGAAAUGCAUAGAUAUCACACAGAACACCGAUUGCGAAGGCAUCUCACGAAUCCGCGAUUGACGCUGAGGCACGAAAGCGUGGGUAUCAAACAGG